rnacentral:rRNA from 1 species
UUGCCAGCCCGCUCAGAAACUCAAAUGAAUUGACGGGGGCCCGCACAAGCGGUGGAGUAUGUGGUUAAUUCGAUGCAACGCGAAGAACCUUACCUGGUCUUGACAUCCCGGAGACCCUUAGGAAACUAGGGGGUGCUUCCAUCUGGAAGAAUCUGGAGACAGGUGCUGCAUGGCUGUCGUCAGCUCGUGUCGUGAGAUGUUGGGUUAAGUCCCGCAACGAGCGCAACCCUUGCCUUUAGUUGCCAGCAGUUCGGCUGGGCACUCUAAAGGGACUGCCGGUGUUAAACCGGAGGAAGGUGGGGAUGACGUCAAGUCCUCAUGGCCUUUAUGACCAGGGCUACACACGUACUACAAUGGCCGAUACAAAGGGCAGCGACACUGCGAGGUGAAGCCAAUCCCGUAAAAUCGGUCUCAGUCCGGAUUGGAGUCUGCAACUCGACUCCAUGAAGUUGGAAUCGCUAGUAAUCGUGGAUCAGCAUGCCACGGUGAAUACGUUCCCGGGCCUU